UGGGGAAUAUUGCACAAUGGGCGCAAGCCUGAUGCAGCCAUGCCGCGUGUAUGAAGAAGGCCUUCGGGUUGUAAAGUACUUUCAGCGGGGAGGAAGGUGUUGAGGCUAAUAACCUCAGCAAUUGACGUUACCCGCAGAAGAAGCACCGGCUAACUCCGUGCCAGCAGCCGCGGUAAUACGGAGGGUGCAAGCGUUAAUGGGAAUUACUGGGCGUAAAGCGCACGCAGGCGGUCUGUCAAGUCGGAUGUGAAAUCCCCGGGCUCAACCUGGGAACUGCAUUCGAAACUGGCAGGCUAGAGUCUUGUAGAGGGGGGUAGAAUUCCAGGUGUAGCGGUGAAAUGCGUAGAGAUCUGGAGGAAUACCGGUGGCGAAGGCGGCCCCCUGGACAAAGACUGACGCUCAGGUGCGAAAGCGUGGGGAGCAAACA
rnacentral:rRNA from 1 species